UUUUUUUUUUUUUGGUCGUAGACUAUCAUAAGAAAGAGCAUUUUUUAUGUUUUCAUCAUUGUUGCACUUCAUCUGGAAGAGCUUAUAUUUUUAUUGCUACAUUUGAACUAUUUUCUAAUUAUUAAUAUCUAUGUUUAAAAGGUAUAAAAAUAUUUUAACAAUUUUAGUGAAUUUGAGAUAUUGUGGGUGAUACUUAACCUUUUUUCUGUCUUGCAUUGGUGUGAGGAGAAUCCAUGCUGGCCUUGCUGGAGAGACAAUGCCACAGUAUGUGUCCCUGGUACCCCUACUUUUAGCCAUAGUACAAAAACCAUCUUUAAAUUAGAACACAGCCUGGGGUGUCAAACUCUGUCACAAAAUACAAAAAAGUAAAAGCUAUUGGAAGCUACAGGGGCCCAUAUAAAUUGGAAAACAACUGGUGAUACAGACCAAGAGUGUUAAACCCCCAAAGAAGUUGGUAGCAUGAAUCCAGUAUCUUAGGGUAGGUCUGCCAAGAAACAGAUGGAGACAGAUUUUCAUGCAGGAAUUUUACUAGAAAGUAGCCUUGGGAUUAAAUAAAGCAGGGCUGGGUAGAAGGAGGAGUUGAACCUCAUCAAAUCCCACAGGGAGCCUUGUAUUUUGUAUGGCCCUUCAGAGAUUACCCACACUAAUUUUUAUGCCAUUGCUACCACCCCACGUGUAGUCACUAGAUGUGGGCAGCCAUGCAGGAGGGAAUCUAAUAUUGGGCAAGGCAGCUCCCUUCUGCUGAGGCAGUUCCUAGGGAAGCACUCAGCUAUAUACAAAUACCAAGCAUACUCAAAGCAACAGUGAUGAAAAUCAGAGUCCUGACAUGGGGAUCUAGGUGUCAGACUGUAGCAUCCAUUAGCACCCAGAACUUGUAAGAUUCAGAUCCAGUUGUUUCUCAUAAGUUUGCCAUCUAGAAUCACUUUUUCCAGAAUUCUGGGUUGAUGUAUAAGAGGGAGAUUAGUGGAAACAACUACAGCCCUCACCACUGAAGCUGGUCUUGGGAACACAAUGGACACUCAUCUCCUAUUAUCCCCUCUAGAUUCCCUUCAAUCUCAAAUAGCACAUCCACUGGUCUAGUUGAUUUACCUAAUGAGAUAAUCCAAGCCCUCUUUGCUAAAAGUUCUGAUCUUCUGGUGCUUGUGCACCUCUCUAACUGUGUUGUCAGUACUUGGCCAUUUACUGUCAAAAUUAGAUAAGGAGUUCCAAGAAACAUCCUGAUUGAUCAGCUGGCUCCCAAAGAUAUUUUUGUCUCCCCUUCUGUAUAAUGACAGUGCUAUGUAUCUCAGUCAGGAUGGUGACUCCUUUCCUGGCCUUUUGGCACAUGGAAUCUAAAGUGCUGGUUGACCAAGAAGCAAGUAGAUUUUAAGAGUCUUGUUGGUAAGAGCAUUCAUCUUCUGGGAACAGAACCUCUAGACCUGCAAAGCUUGUCAUCCUGAGUAAGAGGCACAAAUUCUUCAAGUGAUUAUAGGAGAGAUAGUAAAAAGGGCUACUCCUUAUUUUCACAUCUUCUAUCUCCUGGGUACAUAGCAGUAUAUAAUGAUCACCAACUUAGGAUGUAUCCUAUUUCCUAGAGGAUGGCACCUCAUCUUUGUAGAAUAUUAUCUCUACACUUGGGUUUCAGCUGUACCUUCAAAAGGCAAUUACAUCACUAUAAUUCUGGUAGAUUUUUCAGUGGUAUAGUCUGGCAUGAGCAUAGUAUAGUCUAUUGAUAUAAGCCUAUUGCCAAACCUCUUUUGCUUUAAAUUGGUCUUUGGUCUUAUACAUCAUUAGAUGUCAUACCAUGUCUAUGAAUCAAACAUUCUGUGAACAAUGGAGAUGACUGUGGUCCUACAAUAGAAAUUCAAAUUUAUACCUGGAAUAUGUACUGAUUCCGGUAAAGACAAAUUGCUACUUCUGCCAGCAUGUAAUUCCACCAAGUGACUUGUUAGUCUCCUUGGAGGAGGUGGUGAUCUCUCAGGUCCUAGUAUAGUUCUUUGCUGCUGGCUGGUUGGAUAUCUGACAACAGUAGGUAAACAGAUUAGCCAUAGUGACUGUGAGUCCAUGGUGUUUGUUGGACCCAUGCAUAGUUUCCAUCUCCAACACUAUGUUCAUGAACUUAUUGUGCCAGCAUUGCUGUUGCUCAUAACAGAGGCUGGCUGUCACAUGUCUGCCAGUAGCAAUGUUGUUUGCCAGCAACGUUCUGGCUCUUUAGUGCCUUUUUUAAUGAUAAAUGCUCUCCAGCAAGCAUUGACAGGUUAAACAUGUACCUUCACAAAUUGUGCUCACUUCCAUAGACCCAGCAGAGGCCUUUUCCUCAGGUCUCUUUCCCUUCAAAGUUUCCAUUUUUCACCUUUCCGGUCUCUGAUCAAGCAGCCACACCGAACCCACUGGGCCAUUUCUCUUUCCAUAUAAAGUAGGUGUUCUGAGGCUCUGCCUAUGAAAGAAUUUUAGCUCAUCACCAUUGAAUGGACUUGUAAUGAAGCAGUGCUCCACUUUGAGCUUAUACUUAAAUAUGGAGCUUACCCACACAUGAACCAACCUUAGCCUUUUUCUUUCUCCAUCAGCUGAUCAAAAGACUGUAGGUGUGAACUGAGAGAGAGUCACAAAUGUAACAGUGGUGGAUGGCAAGUGGAUCUGGGCAACUGCUAAUGGAGCUUAUUUGUGCUGCCCACCCCUUCUCGUUCACAGUCCUAAAUGUACAUUCUAGUGAGAAAAUGCUACUCAUGACAGAAUAGGGUGGGCUCUCUUGCUCUUGUAGCUUUAUGAAUUCAAGAAUUCCCAGCUUAUGAUGGACAAUGCUGAUAAAGAUGGUCAUUUGAUAUUCCAUGAUCAGACAUCCCAUCUCUAUCAGGACCUAGUAGCAAGCCAGGAGCAUGGCUUCAUUCCAGAACCCUAAGGGAUUUCAUUGUGAUUAUCUAGUGGAGCUUGUCAGAAUCUCCAUGUGGUAUCUUUUCUCACCACAGAUAUCUUUAUGUCUUUAGGGUAGUACUAAUUUCUGCCUGCCUUCUUGGUUCAGUAUAGUUUUUAAUUUAUAGUAUUGGCUGAUGUGGGCAGUUUCAGCAGCUUUCAGUUUGCUUUCCCAAUUAAAUAGCUACUACCCCAUAGGGUAAGAACUCAGUAUUGGGUACUUUGUGUGUCCAUUCUAGUUGUACAUUUGAAGGACUGAUAAAAAUCACUAAUAGGUUGGUUUAUAGACCAGGGGAACUACUGUGAACCAGACCUGUGAUAGGACUCAAUUUAUUACUUGGCUCUUAUAUGCCCCUACUCUAACCUAAAGGCUAUAAUGAAACUUAAGGUCCUUGGAUAUUAAUGUUAAUUCAAAUCCCAUUUUCGAGAAUCAAUACAAUAUCUGGAUAUUCCAUUUCUCACAGUACAAGAUUACCUAAGUAAAUUGUGUGAUCCCUUUUUGGCCCGUCUCUCUUUCCUUUAAGGAUUAACCAUCUUCAUAGCUCUUCCCUGAUCAAGCCCCUGGGUAAAACUCCAAAUGCCACCACCUGACUUUUUAUGUUGGGGAUCCUAUCAUCCCCAUUGCUGUGAAGAAAGCUCCAUUAACAUUGGUCUUCUGCUGAAGGACAGCUCCUCUCACAGGCACAUUUCUUUUUUUCUGAGGGCCAGGGCAGGGGGGCACACUUGCAUAUAUAGAAGUUCUGGAACCAGGGAUCAAAUCUGAGCUACAGCUUAACCCACUGUACCACAGUGGGAACUUCCCCACCAGCACAUUUCUUCUUGUUUCAGUAAAUAGUGUAUUCUCUGGGCCCUCCUACAGAAUGUAGUCAGCUGCUACAUAUUUGGACCUUGUGUAGUAUAUCCACUCUAGCGCACCCACCUCUCUAAGCCUUUUGUUCUCCCUUUCCACUAAGAAACUUAGUACGUGGCAGUUUAGAAUCUCUAGCUCAAUUAGUAAGAGCCUUUUUCCAUGCUUCUAAAAGCCAACAAGUAGUAUAUUGGCACUGAUUCCCAGGGUCCUUGCCAGCAUGUUUUGUCCUGUAUCACUUCCAAAUCAAUAAAUUCUCCCUUAUCCAGCUUUGUAUUCUCUGCCUUUUGACUCAGCAUGCUCAUCAUCCAGCCCCCAUACUCUCUCCUAGCUCCUGAGAGUACAUGUUUUCCUGCCAUAGUCCCUUUCCUCCCUUAACAGACCCAGCACUUCCAAGACCAGAUUAUCUUGUUUCCUGACUGUCGUUUUUGUUGUCUGGUAGCCAAGAGAAAAGGUGUGGGUAGAUUGGAAGGGAAGGAGAUGCAUAUUGCUUUGCAAAACAAAGCCUUAUUUUUCAAGCAAAGAGGGAGUGAUAACUUUCAAUGGGCAGAACUGGGCCAUUUAUGCAGAAACAAAUUGUCCAGAAAACCCUAGGAUUUCAAGGUUCUUUCCUAACCAGAAUCUGACAUUAGCCUAAUAUAUUUGCCUUGCAGGGGUAAAGAACUCAAACUUUAUCCAGAGAGCUACCACUGUUAUAAUUAACUCUUCAGAUUUUUCUGCCCUUUCACAGCAGACAGUGUGUAUAAAUAUAACCACCCAGGAGACCAUCUAACUUUUAUAUUUUGUCCUAAAUUGAUGAUUAAUCACCCUCAGCCUUUCAUUAUUGUUCUCCAAU
ensembl:lncRNA